GACGAACGCUGGCGGCGUGCCUAAUACAUGCAAGUAGAACGCUGAAGGAGGAGUUUGCUUGGCUGGAUGAGUUGCGAACGGGUGAGUAACGCGUAGGUAACCUGCCUGGUAGUUUGGGAUAACUAUUGGAAACGAUAGCUAAUACUGCAUAAUAGCAGUUGUUGCAUUGCAAGUUGUUGAAAGGUGCAAUUGUACCACUACCAGAUGGACCUGCGUGGUAUUCGCUAGUUGGUGUGGUAACGGCUCACCAAGGCGACGAGACAUAGCCGACCUGAGAGGGGGGUCGGCCACACUGGGCCUGAGACACGGCCCAGACUCCUCCGAGAGGCAGCAGUAGCGGCUCUUCGGCAAUGGACGGAAGUCUGACCGAGCAACGCCGCGUGAGUGAAGAAGGUGUUCGGAUCGUACAGCUCUGUUGUCAGAGACGCACGAGUGUGAGAGUGGAAAGUUCACACUGUGACGGUAUCUUACAAGAAAGGGACGGCUAACUACGUG
rnacentral:rRNA from 1 species